CGAAUAUUCCGCAAUGCACGAAAGUGUGACGGAGCGAUGCCGCGUGCAGGAUGAAGCCCCUCGGGGUGUAAACUGCUGUCAGGGUUUACCAAUAAAUUGAGGAUACCCAAAGGAAGAGACGGCUAACUCUGUGCCAGCAGCCGCGGUAAUACAGAGGUCUCGAGCGUUAAUCGGAAUUACUGGGCUUAAAGGGUGCGUAGGCGGCGCUGUAAGUGCCUUGUGAAAUCCCAUGGCUUAACCAUGGAAUUGCUCGGCAGACUGCAGUGCUUGAGGUUGGUAGGGGUCGCUGGAACUCUAGGUGGAGCGGUGAAAUGCGUAGAUAUCUAGAGGAACGCCAAAGGUGUAGACAGGCGACUGGGCCAAUUCUGACGCUGAGGCACGAAAGCGUGGGUAGCGAA
rnacentral:rRNA from 1 species